UCAAACCAUGGCAAAAUGUAUUUGCCUUUUGAUCUGGGCUUCUCAGAAAUUUUCCCCCAAAAUGUGUUGAUUCACAGCAUUCAGUCUGCUGUGUAUAACACUGCAUGUGGUUGUAUUGUCUUCUUUUCAGACACAGUCUUCACUAUAUUUGCCAGGUCAUCAUAAAGCUCCCACACACAUGGAGCUCUUCGGCAGUAUGCAAUGUAAUGUCCCAGACCAUCUUUAGUCAAGCUUCCCUUGAAAGCGAUGACUCCUCUCAAAGAGAAUGUCUUUCCUUGGAGAGCAACAAUGGGGGGAAAUUCACUCAAAGGAAACUGAGUUGUGUUUGCAAGUGGGCGAAGGCAGGGAGACUCCGGAAGGAAGAGUCCGUUUUCCACUGAAAUGUCAAGCUGAGCCAUGCCAGAGUCCAUCAGCACAGAAAUGUCAGGAGAAACAAAUGUGGCUGAGCUUGCUGUGAGGUUGGUGCUUUUGAAGAGGGGGACCAUUACUCCUGUCCAAAGUGAUAUUUUUUGCACAUCUCUGAUUCGAGAGGGACUCCAGAACUAUCAUCACCCUCUGCCUCACUGAGGGCCACAACAGUGAUGGCAUGUAUUAGCUGUUUUGCAUGGUCCAAGCACUGUGAUUGAAGAAGCUUUGCUAUUGCCCUGACAAAGAAAUCUUUGACAUGGU